AUUGAACGCUGGCGGCAGGCCUAACACAUGCAAGUCGAGCGAGUGGCGGACGGGUGAGUAAUGUAUGGGGAACUGCCCGAUAGAGGGGGAUAACUACUGGAAACGGUGGCUAAUACCGCAUACUAUCGGAUGAACCCAGAUGGGAUUAGCUGUUGGGUGGGGUAACGGCUCACCAAGGCGACGAUCCCUAGCUGGUCUGAGAGGAUGACCAGCCACACUGGAACUGAGACACGGCCCAGACUCCUACGGGAGGCAGCAGUGGGGAAUAUUGCACAAUGGGCGCAAGCCUGAUGCAGCCAUGCCGCGUGUAUGAAGAAGGCCUUAGGGUUGUAAAGUACUUUCAGCGGGGAGGCGUUACCCGCAGAAGAAGCACCGGCUAACUCCGUGCCAGCAGCCGCGGUAAUUC
rnacentral:rRNA from 1 species